rnacentral:rRNA from 1 species
CAGGGAAUCUUGGGCAAUGGGCGAAAGCCUGACCCAGCGACGCCGCGUGAGGGAAGAAGGCUUUCGGGCUGUAAACCUCUUUUCCGGGGGAAGAGUAAGGACGGUACCCCGGGAAUAAGCCCCGGCUAACUACGUGCCAGCAGCCGCGGUAACACGUAGGGGGCGAGCGUUACCCGGAUUUACUGGGCGUAAAGGGCGCGUAGGCGGCAUGGCAAGUCUCCUGUGAAAGCUCCCGGCUUAACUGGGAGAGGUCGGGGGAAACUACCAAGCUAGAGGACGGCAGAGGAGGGUAGAAUUCCCGGUGUAGCGGUGAAAUGCGUAGAUAUCGGGAGGAAUACCAGUGGCGAAGGCGGCUCUCUGGGCCGCUCCUGACGCUGAGGCGCGAAAGCGUGGGUAGCAAACCGG